ensembl:lincRNA Gm44591 predicted gene 44591
GGAAGAGAGCUGAAUGCCACGAAAUCCCCGCUGUACUGGUUCUAAAAACAGCUGGAUGCCCUGAAAGAUGAAGGUGGACACGGGAGGCAAACAGCCAGAAGGCUUCACCCACAGAUGACAGAUCUUUUCUAGCAUCGAAGAGGACUGAGCUUUUCCAGGGUCCCAUUCUAGCCUCUGGACCUGAGUCUUGGCAGCACUGACUGGUUACCUGCAAGCCACACAGUCAUCCCUUAACCUAUCACUGAAGUCAAAGAGAUGUGAUCUCCCGAUUGAUUGGCUUGGCCAGGUCACAUGCUCACCUCUGAGGUUGAAGUGAGGUGAGGUCUGCAGUUACUGUUUGGUGAGUGGGAAAAAUGAUUAAUUUCCCCCUAGAAAACUUGAAAUUUAUUAAGGUUUAAAAGACUUCAGACAGCAAGCAGGAUCAUAGUCAACUUAGAGCAAAGAGAGCCUACGGAUGGCUGAGGAGUUGUAAAUACAGCACUGACCAGUGGCUCAGACACCUGUCCAAAGGACUCCUCACGGUCCGAGGACUCCCUGAGACAUCAAGGCUCUGUUCCUGCCAGCUGCCAUUGUAACGGUGGCCAUUGUUGAGAAAGCACAAGAUUAACAAGAGCAAAGAUCAAUGUGUUUGUCCUUAUUGUCAGUCAGAUGUCAUGGGGGCCAAUAUUGCCUAAUCACAUAUAGGGAUUGUUGUCAGAGUUUUUACUUAUUUUUAAAUUGUGUGUGUAUGUGUAUGUCUCUGGGUACACUUGUAUAUGUGUGAGUACAGGCACCCACGAAAUCCAGAAAAGGACAUGGGAUACCCUGGAUCUUGAAUUCCAUAAGGGUGUGAGCCAUUGAAUAUGGGUGAUGGGAAAUGACCUCUGGAAGAGCAGUGAGCACUCUUACCCACUGACCAAUCUCUCCAGCCCUGCCUUUAAUUAGUUUUGAUAGACUGUAAGUUUUUGUGUCAUCUUCACCUGCUGUUGACUGUUGUGAACAAGUUGAUGACAUCUUAAGUUGCAGGUUUUAUUAGAAGUCUUAAGGGUCAUCAUUUCCAAAUUUGUUGAUUCUGAUGAUGCUUCUCCAAGUGUCCUUAAUGUUGGAAUAGGAGAGGCCAUUCGGAAAGCCAUAGGUAUCAAAUGGAAAACUUUCUGAGUAGUAGAUUCACCGAAGAGGCCAUAGCAUGGCGGUGUCUUCCUGCUGGAGUCUCUGAGUUAGUCUGACAGACUCAUGGCACUUCUCCCUCUGAGAAGUUUCCAUGAGGUAAGGCCUCAGGAUGUGGCAAUCUCAAAUGACAGACAAAGAGGAACCGUGUUUACAAAUCAGCGGUAUCUGGGGACCAGUGUCAAGUGGAAGAGAGCAGGUCUCACUGUGACUUCCUUCCCAGAAGCCUGGAGUAAAGGCUCUGACAUCAAUGAGAAGGGAAGAGAGGGAUGUCAGCGAUGGCUCCAGUCCCCCAGUGACACUGCCCCUUGUCCACUCUGUUCCAGAGAGAUUCCUGCAACAUUUCUGGAAGCCCCAGUGAGAUCUCCUUCUCCAUGGCCCCAUGGUAGAGACGGGCUGCUGCUCCCUGGUCUCUGAGAACACUAAAGUCUUCUGGAACUGAGAAGCACAAGGGGACUGCGGGACCAAGACCUGGAGUCUCUGGGAAACAUACAUCCUAAACAGGACUUCAGGGUCCUCUCCCAGUGGACAAGGGGACUGCGGGACCAAGACCUGGAGUCUCUGGGAAGCACACAUCCUAAACAGGACUUCAGGGUCCUCUCCCAGUGGACAAGGGGACUGCGGGACCAAGACCUGGAGUCUCUGGGAAGCACACAUCCUAAACAGGACUUCGGGGUCCUCUCCCAGUGGACAAGGGGACUGUGGGACCAAGACCUGGAGUCUCUGAGCGGAAGACCAGAUGAGACUGGGCUGGAUGUCCAGGCCAGGUAAAGACAAAAAAGGGAGAUAGGCAGGAAGAGCCAGCAAUGGCUAGAUCGCCUUGCAGGAUAUUAUAUCUGGAGCCUUGAAGGGAUACUCAGGUAGCACCGGUCCCCAAGGAAAAGGCCUUGAUGAGAUACUCAGGUGGAUUAGUCUUGGAAGAAAUAGACAGACUAAGCAUUUAAAAGGGGGAUGUAUAACUUCUAAGUGAAUGGUGAAUGACUGUGUAGGUGACUGUAAUGCUCCCGCAGCUCCGUGGCUACAGAAUUUGAUUGGGCCUCAACCUCAGAUCGGCUGAAGCCCUUUCAAAUGAACAGGCACUCCCACUCACAAUAGGAGGUGACCAAGUACAAGGUUAUACAUGUGGCUCUAAGGAAAGACCUCUGAAAUUGCCACAUGGUGUCUGGCCAGGCAGAUGCCUGCUUGAGGGAGAAGCUGGUCUCCACCUCACCCUAUUACUACACAGGGUUAGGCACACAUAAACUCCCCCAGUUUCCAGAUAGGGAAUUUUUCUCACCAUGGGAUUUGUAAAAUCCUGAUGUGAAACUCACACAAUCCUGCAAAGACCUUUGUGAUGGUUUGUAUAUCCUUGGACCAGGGAGUGGCACCAUCUGAAGGUGUGGCCUUGUUGGAAUAGGUGUGACCUGGUUGGAAUGGGUGUGUCNNNNNNNNNNNNNNNNNNNNNNNNNNNNNNNNNNNNNNNNNNNNNNNNNNNNNNNNNNNNNNNNNNNNNNNNNNNNNNCUGUAAGCCAGCCCCAAUUAAAUGUUGUUUUUUAUAAGACUUGCCUUGGUCAUGGUGUCUGUUCACAGCAGUAAAACCUUAACUAAGACAACCUUUAAGCACAAAGACUCCAAGGAAGCACCCCCUUAGUGUCCCUGGAGGAUGAAAUCUUGCCCGUGGUGCUGUCUCCCUACCCUACUGGCUCCAGUUGUCAGCGCCACAUGGUGCCAAGGCAGCUGCAAGACUACCUGACCCUGUCCUUUCUACUGCCACUGAGGGAAAUGCCAGGCCCUCCCCUUAUCCAAGAAGGUGACAGCUAUGUUACCUGACCCUAAAUCUGGCCACAUAUUUGCCAGGAGGGAGAGCCCUUCCACGAUUGUGGAGAAACUAUAAAAGUGAUUUUUUUUUCCCUCACAGUCAGAUUUAAAGGUCAAGCUACUUCCCAAUGCAGGUAUGGAACUUUUACCAGUCCUAGUGACCUGAAAUGGAGCCCUAGUACCACAUGGUAGAAGGAAAGAAAAGACCUCUCUGCCUUCCACACAUAGGUAGUGGCACCCCCACACAUUAAACAAAUAAACAGAAAAUAACAUAGCAUGAAGUCUCCCCAUCAGUAUAAGAGAUCAGCUUCCCAGCUUUCAUACCGACUAUCCCCUAUGAAUCCUGCAGCCACCUUGUAUCGUACGACUGUCCCCUAUCCUGCAGCUCCCCUGUGAGUUAGGUAGACAGAUAGCACUUGCCCAGUGUAACAUAGCCAUCUUGGGCUCCCUGCCCAGUGCUGCCUCAGGCGCUGAAAGUCCUGACAGUGAGUCUGUGCUAAGAGGAGUUUCCACUCUUCCUCCCACGGUUGCAUACCGCUUAGGCUUAAACACCAGGCCUAUGUGACGCCAUGGCUUCUCAGUUAACCCAAGUCAUGGAGUGGAAGGCAAUGAAGGGCCUAUGAAUGUGUUUAUGUAAGAGAGAUUUUGCUAAGAUAUUAGCCUAUCCUUGAAUUCUUCAUAGAGCCAGAUGAGCCAGUUUUUUUUUGUUUUUUUGUUUUGUUUUGUUUUUAAUUAUGUAUGAUGUGUGGGUGUGGGUGUGGGUGAGCAUGCACAUGCCUGCAUGUACGUGGGUAGCUCAGAGGUUAAUGUCUGGUGUCUUCCUCAAUGGUUCUAUGUCUUAAUCUUGAUACAAGGUUUCACAACUGAACUUGUGACUUGCUGUUUCAGCAGGACUUGAUGGCCAUAGUAUCUCUGCCUUUUUCCCUGUGCUGGGAUUAUAGUGUUGCUCCUGGCUUUUAUAUGGGUGCUUGGGAUUUGAACCCAGGUCUUCGUGUUUAUGCAGCAAACAGCUUACCCACCAAAGCACCCCUAGCCCAUAAGCCAGCUUCUCUGUUUCAGGAUCUUAUCUGCUCUUCAGCUUUUGUUCACUUCCCACUUCCUGGGGUGAAGUGCAGUCUCUAGGUGAGGACAGCCAAGGCUCCUCUUCACUAUCAGCUUGAUUGGAUGUAGACUGACUGUGGAAGCUCACCUCUGGGGUGUGUCAUCGAGGGUGUGUCUAGAGAGAGUUAACUGGAAAGGGAAGACCCAUCCUGAGUGUGGAUAUGCUGUGCUAUCCCUGGGAAAAGAUCGAGGACAAGAAGACCAUGAGCGAGGCACCAGUGUUCAUCUCUCUCUGCUUGCUGACCAUUGAUAUGUGGUCCACUGCUUCACAGUCCUGCCUCCAUGGCCUCUCCACCCUGAUGAACUUCAGUGUGAAAGCCAAAAUGGAUGUGAAACACCUGUGCCAAGCAUUCCAUCUCAGCAAUGAGAAACACACAAGGUCUCUGUGAACCGUGACAAAAAAUGUUACGAGUUCAUAAAUCAAACCCAGUGUUAUCUUCUCCACACGGUAAGACUUAGGUUAUUGGUUGACCUUCUGUGGACCCCAGAUCCUUCAGUGUUAAGCUGCUAGAUUGUUAAUUAAAAUUGAAAACAUG